rnacentral:rRNA from 1 species
GACGAACGCUGGCGGCGUGCUUAACACAUGCAAGUCGAACGAAAAGAGGGAAAGAGCUUGCUCUUUCCGGAAUUGAGUGGCAAACGGGUGAGUAACACGUAAACAACCUGCCUUCAGGAUGGGGACAACAGACGGAAACGACUGCUAAUACCGAAUAAGUUCCAAGAGCCGCAUGGCCCAUGGAAGAAAAGGUGGCCUCUACCUGUAAGCUAUCGCCUGAAGAGGGGUUUGCGUCUGAUUAGCUGGUUGGAGGGGUAACGGCCCACCAAGGCGACGAUCAGUAGCCGGUCUGAGAGGAUGAACGGCCAUACUGGAACUGAGACACGGUCCAGACUCCUACGGGAGGCAGCAGUGGGGAAUCUUCCGCAAUAGGCGAAAGCCUGACGGAGCAACGCCGCGUGAGUGAUGACGGCCUUCGGGUUGUAAAACUCUGUGAUCCGGGACGAAAAGGCAGAGUGCGAAGAACAAACUGCAUUGACGGUACCGGAAAAGCAAGCCACGGCUAACUACGUG